GUUUAUAAACAAUACAAAUAUUAGCAUUUUAGGUCAAAAGUAGUUUUUUUAUGAAGUGAUUUGUCUACUGAGGUACGUUUUGAACAGUGCUCAGAAAGGUUAUUCCUUAUAAAUACGUUGGCAACCAUUUCUAAGUGAAGCCAAACGAUUGCCAAAGAGCUGCUCGCUUAGAUUUGUGAUGUGCUCAGCUUGUCAGUCAACUACAGUAUAUCAUUGCCAUGGUCACAUGAUCACAUCAGACUUGUCAUUGGAAAACAUCAACGUACUUAUACCCAGCUUUUUAUUGUUAUUAUAUUAAUAAUUGCAUUCUAUAGACGUUUUUUAUAGUAUAUUUAUGGUAUAGUUUAUGCAGAACAAACAUAUCAUUUUGUUGUUGAUUCCUACAGAAAAUUUGACCAAAAAUAUAAACCUUAAUGGAGAAAUGGAAGCUCCCUCUUAAAUAGAUAUUAGUUAACCAUAGGAUGUUUCCAAGGUUGCCAACUGCAGGUAAUGGUGGCCUCUAGUUGUUGUUGUUGUGGGCUGGAUGGCCCCCUGGACCAAACUGCACAGGUCCCAGUUCAUGGCCGUGGACAGACAAGGCCGGAGAAGGAUUUUCUACCUUGGCCAUGUGGUUGUUGUGCAGAGACAGAUCGGGGAACUCCUCGUCCACCGAGAACUUCAUCUUGUAGUCGUUAUGACAAUUCUUCGUCAUGGUUGCGAUUCCUACUCCACCUUCUUAGGAGAAAAGGAAGAGGUUAACAAUCCUGGGAUCCGUUCCUGUUCGCCGAAUGUAAGGGUUGCCCAACUCUGCCAGAUGAUGGGCUUAAGUAUUUAUACCUGGACCUCUGUCCCCAUUGGCUGACCAGACUCGGGGGUCCCCUCGUUUGAUUGGUCGCAGGGGGUCCUCCGUGCUCGGGUCAGUUUCUAAAAGGCAAGAACGAACAUAACACAACACUGUAGACGAGAGACGAGAAACAGCUGCAGCCACUCGGCCCAACCUUUCACCUUCUGCCUGGUGGCUGCUGGGAGCCUGCAGGGCAGAACGGUGGUGGACGUAACGCACCGAAAGCCCUCAUUGUGUUUGUCAAUCGACUUAAUUAUGUUUGAGAUUAACUUCUUUUAACCUAAGGGAUUUACAGUGAGAGAAACUAGAUUAUUAUUAUUUCAGGAAUUCAUAUUCAUAUUGAAAAUGCCAUUAAUUUAAAGACAGCUUUAAAAAAAAACAACAGUAGUUUAAAUAUGAUUUUAACAGAAAUUGAGAUUUGACCGUUUGCAGCAUUAUGUUUCAGCUGGUCAGUUUAAGAAAAGCAGGUGACUCUAAUGGUUCGGACACUCAUUAUAGGCGUCGUAUUGUUUUGUAUUUGUGUCUCUUUGGUGUGUCAAUGAAGACGAGUUACAGGAGUUUUAUUCUGUUAUGCUUUUUAGGAGUUAAAAGGUACUUUAUCUCUGAUUACCUCAUCAUAAUAUCCAACAUUACAGAUCGUAUUUCAUCGAGCUGUGAUCCCGCUCACUUACACCGCUCACAUAUGCUAAGUGGCGGUGUGCAAGUGGGAGUUUAAGGUUUGUGUUACUGCUCCUUGUGUGGGAUGUUGUGUUGGCAUAAACACUACAUGCAGAUAUUCAUGUAUCAUAUUAAAUAUGUUAAUAUCGCUUUGAAUUAUAUGCAAAAGGCCCUUAAGUUAAGUUAAGUCUGGGCUGCCAGAACGUUGCACUCCCAGUUGGAUCUCACUGGCAUUUGUGAUGCAUCAAGUCGAGCAGCAUCCACCCCCUGCUGGUAAUGUGAUAGACAUCAGUAAUCUACCCUCAGACAGAUAUUAAAUCAAACACGCAUCAUGUGACAAAGUUGAUGGGCAGAACUGAAAGACACUGUGACGAAGACAGACGUCUCACAUUAGUUACAGUUUCCCCAAAACACAGCAGAGAACUAGAGGUCAGCAGGGUUAUCAUAACAAAGUAAAUCCAAACUAUAAACUAAAUAAAUAAGCAGAAACCGAAUAAAAAUGUUAAAAUAAAGUAAAACUGCAGGUAGAUACUACCUUAAGAAGAAAAUAAAUAAAAAUUAACUUGUAAUAUAUAGUAUUUUAUAUAUAAAAAAAACAAACUAAGACCUCUAUAAAUAAAAUAACUAUUUGAGAAUUACAAACUAUUGUUAUCUUGGAUGUCAGUUUAUGAUUUUGUGAUUCAUCACAAUUCGUUCAUUCAAAUUUCGAUUUAUAACAACUGAGCAAUUACUUACUACUAUUACUUAGUACAUUUUCAGUUUUCAUACAUCCACCGUGCAUGCUCGUAUAUGUCAACAGAUUAAAAAUAAAACCUAUAUAAUACAUGUUACGCUUGUAUUUGUAGCUGUGUCUGACGAUAAAGAGGACGUUUGACAGCUGUAUGAAGCCAGAUGAAGCCAAACAUUGAGCUUCCCCACAUCAGGCUAAUUAACGCUCAUUUCACUGCCCAAUAGUUUGUUUUGGU
ensembl:lncRNA